GAUGAGAACGUAGCGAAAUGCGAUAAGUAAUGUGAAUUGCAGAAUCCAGUGAAUCAUCGAAUCUUUGAACGCACAUUGCGCCCGCCAGCAUUCUGGCGGGCAUGCCUGUUCGAGCGUCAUUUCAACCCUCGACCUCCCCUUGGGGAGGUCGGCGUUGGGGACCGGCAGCACACCGCCGGCCCUGAAAUGGAGUGGCGGCCCGUCUGCGGCGACCUCUGCGUAGUAAUACAGCUCGCACCGGAACCCCGACGCGGCCACGCCGUAAAACACCCAACUUCUGAACGUUGACCUCGAAUCAGGUAGGACUACCCGCUGAACUUAAGCAUAUCAAUAAGCGGAGGA
rnacentral:misc_RNA from 1 species